AUGUGUUUUUUUUCUUCUGAAAACAAAUAAUUUUUAAAAUAUUUGUAUGAAACAAAUAUUCAUAAAACACCCAAUAUUUGUGCUUAUCAGCUGGUAGAACUUACAACACUAAAUUUUUUGUGUUAAGGGGCCAUGACUUGUGUUCGUCUGUUGCAGUUGUUAGUUUUAUGUGUGAGAAAACCUUUCCAAAGCAAGCAAAUAACUUUGUCUUUGCAGAAGAAAUAAAUAAAGCCUCUGGUGUUGGUUUGGGUACUCAGUUCAGUCAGAUCGGCUCUGAUAUCGCAGGUAUGGGCCGGGUUCGGGUCUUGCUUUUAGGCCCCUGCAGGACCCUAUUCUGGACUUAAGUAUUUAGUUUAUAGUAAAAUAUCCAUAGAAUUAGGUUAGAAAUGUCAUGGUGACGUUUGUUUUGGUGUUUGGUUUUGUGUUUGGGGUUUUUCUGUGUUUUCUUUUCCCCCCUCCCUCUUUCUGUUUCUCUCCCUGGCGGUGUGUGUGCAGCUGAGGGUGUGGCUGGCUGAGCGGGGCCUUCACUACGAGGCACACCUGGUGCUCAUCAGUCAUCACUCCUGCCAUAAAAGCCUGGUCAAGACACCACUCCUGUGCCAGAUUAUCCCGUUGCAGUCGUUUUCCGGUGUGCCUCGCCUGCAGUCUCCAGUGCUACUGUUUUUCUCGUGCUCAGCCUCGGUGGAUCUCCUGGUCAAUUUGCCAACUCACCUGCGACGCCAGCCAGCCCUCAGCCACCACCUCCAGCCUCUUGCCUUUUUUUCAUUGAGAUAUUAUUCUUUCAAUAAACUACCCAAGAACUGUC